UACACAUUUGUCUUUUGUGUUCAAACGGGAACGUUGUCAUUUCCCCAUUUCAUUCUGAAAGUUUAAAAAAGUCUGGGCAUUGCCCAGCACUGUCCCCAUAACUCACUUCAUCAUUUCAGCACUGAUUCUUGCAGUUGGCAGACAUCAGAUGACAACUUUCUGCUUCAGUACUGGUCAAAAUCCCACAGAGGACUUUGGUACCAAUACUCACUGACCCAUCUCUGAAUUGAAAGUCUUUAACUUUUCAACAAAAUAGCAGAAUGAAAAGAUCAGGCUUUAUUUAUCACACAUAAAUGACCAGGACUUUAAGAAAAAAACAUGCACACAUAGUGAGGCUCAGACUUUGCUGUAUUUAGGAAUCACUCUGGGGAGUACUGUAUUUUAAAAGGAAAUUUCUAAGUAGGUUUCAUAGUGAUUUUGAUUCAGUACAUUUGAGUGGAUUCCAGGAUUCUGUUUUUAACAAAAAUUAACCUAAUUGCAAUAUAAAUAGUCCAUGCAUUAUUUUUUGAAGAAUUGAUACAUUACAUCAGGCGUUAUUUUUUCCUAAGGAUAAUUAAAAUCAACCUAAUAAUAUUAUUAAGUUGAUAUUCUUGCAUUCUGAGUAUGUGUCCAUUGAUAAUAUAUCUGAAAAGCAUGUUUUAAACUUUGGAAAUAUUUUGAGCCAAUGAAUGGAUGAAAUAAUGUCCUAUGUAAUUUACCACAGGUUUUCUGCCAUCUUUGGACAAGGCCCAUGGUGAUCCCUUCUUGCGCAGGCUGUUUCUGAGAGUUAAAAUGGGAAGAGGAAGAGGAAAGGUAGUGGAAUGCCACAGGCAAGGCUGAAGCCAGCUUGAUAAUGGCAGAAAUAAAGACAGGGUCUUACGAAGUCUCUCAAUUGCCCGAGCUGGGCUGGAACUCAUGAUCCUCCAGCCUCAGCCACCCAGAGUGCUGGGGUUGCAGGCGUGUGCCACCAUUGCCAGGUGAGGCUUCCAAUUGAAAAAUGUUAGCAACUAACAAAUGUUAAGUAAAAUGUCCUGUAGGCCAAACCAAAUCUGUGUCCAGGUCUGGCCCAGGGGCUGCUGGUGUGUGGUCGCUGCUGUGGAGCCACAGACUUUGCCUGGAUUCUGGCUCUGACACUGUUUUUUCUUUCAGAAACUGAUGGGUGCAAUAACAGCUCACUUUCCCCUUCUUUUCCUCCUCCUCCCCCUCCUCCUCCUCUUCCUCCUCCACCUUUUCUUCCCUUCCCCUUUUCCCUCCCCCCUUCUUAUUCUUGUUUUUGUAUAUGUGCUGCCUAAGCGCACAUCUUGUUUUUGUUCUUGUUCUCCUCUUUAUCCUCCUCCCUCUUCUUCCUCUUUCUUUCCUUCUCCUCUUUUCUCUUCUCCUCCACAAAGCAGUAAGCUUGCUUUUCACGUACUUAAAUGGAUGUGUAUGAAGUACUUCUCCAGUGUCUGCUACCUUACCAGAGCCAGUAAAUGGCUCUUAUAGUGACCAGAAUUCUGUAGUUUUCAAUCAUUUUCUUCCAAAAAUAAACAAAUGCAUCAUUUUAGAACAACAGAACAUUGCCAUUUCCUGAACUAUCCUUCAGGCUAAGGUGUGUUUGUUAGUGUAGGAAAGGCGUAUGACUAAGAUCUCUCCCCUUGCUUGCCUGGGCUUGUGUCUUCUCUUUAGAUCCAUUGGUCCUACAGAAGUCUGAAACAUGAGGAAGAAACAUUUCUGAAGAAAUAAAAUCUUUAACUUCAGCCUCACAGGCAUUUGUUGGAGCAGCUCUCUAUUCCGUGUUCUGCUGGAUACAGUACAAGGUGAAUCAGAGACACAGUCCUUGUCCUCUUGGAGAAUGAAAGUGUCCUUCAAAAACAAUGGAAAGUUUAUAUUCAUGGGAGGUGGGACAAAUGACGUGCUUGAAUUUAUUUGUAAGAGAAGAGUCUGAUAUAUGUCAUACGAGGGGAAAAUAAUUUUGCUUUUUUCCCCUUUCAUCAGAUUGCUCAAGAAGAAAUGAGAUUUCAGAGUUGAAAAACUUGAAGAGAUUCCUUGGUGAGAGAACAUGAGAAAUGUUCAGAUGCACAGAGAGGAGAGAGCUCCAUAUGCAGUAUCCUGGAAACCACAUGAAACAGAUGUGACUGACGAUGGCUCACUGCACCGUAUUUCCUGCAAAACUCCUGAAGGAAGGACCUACGUUUCUCUUGGGUUUCAUCAGUUUUUUUCCAUUUGUUGUCUUUGACUAAACUUUUAUUUAAAGGCCGAAUGUCCAAUGGCCAAUUCAUUUCACUGGACUUCAU